AUUCAGCCACGCAAAUAGUUUGUUUUAUUUGCCCAGUUUUUGACAUGUUUGUGUCUCUUUUCCAUCAAUGCAACAGAAGUAAAAGGAAUUUGAUUUAUUGCCUGGGUCUUCAACAAGGGAUUCGCGACCCCUGUGUGGUCCUCAGUGCCUGCAGGGGUGCCGUCAAAUUGUUUGUUAAUUUACAGUACACAACAGUAACGAUAGGCUGACUGUUAACCAUGACUCAUUGUAUUAUCCAGUGUAUUGGUGCAAGGUUGAACUAUCAACUGGGGAAAGCAGGAAACUGCACAAAAAAUUAAAGGGACAGCUCACCCCCAAAUCAAAAAUACAUAGUUCCUCUUACCUGUGCGGCUACCAAUAAGUCUAGAUUGUUUUGAUGUGAGUUGCUGAGCGUUGGCGAUUUCAGCUGCGCUAACAAGACAGCUCUGUCAAGGAGGAUGCCAUUCAUCUUUACAUCUCGUGCUGUCACAAGCGGAGGCCGCUGAGUAGCUUCUUUCUGCGCAGUGAUACAACUGGUGGGUGAUGUUUGGUAGAAAGAAAAUACACAUGAACCUGCUCACAACAAGGUAUGUAGAUUAUCUUGAGUAACCAGGUUAUAAUUUCUGGAAAGAGACAUUGCUGUUAAUUGCUUCAAGAUGAUUUUGUAUGUAUGUAUGUUUUUCAGGACUUUGAGCACCACAAGCUGAGUGCCAUGUAGUUCCAUUAUACUGGAGAGGAGGCAGACGUCUCUACGGCUGAUAUCUCCAACACAACAGAAUAAUCUAGACUGAUAAAUAGCACUGCAGGUAAGAGGAAGAAUAUGUAUUUUUGAUUUUGGGGUGAACUGUCCCUUUAAGGUUUGAGUUGUAUGUUUAUUUAAAAUGUGUUGGAGAAUUUGCACCACUUUUAGCAGAAUAUCAACCAAGGCAGACUCUGCAUAAUAACCUUGUCUUGCUCUGUCUGAUGCAGCUGUUCUGUGUCAAAAUCAAGUAUCGCAUUAAAUUCAACAUGUAGUUUAUAUUGUGCUGACAUGGUGUGUAUUCCCAAAUGUAUCAACUUUUUAUUACAUAAGUUUAUUUGACGAGGUCAGUGAUAACAGAAAAAAAGAACUGAAUGAGCCACAGUAUGUCUAAAAGGUACAUUUUCAUGUGUUGUCCCUGGACAGGUGUUCAUCCUAAAGAUAGGAUAAAACGACUUCAGAUACAAUUCAUAUACACAACAUACUAAAUAUGCACAGAGCCCCAGACAUCACAAAGCAGUCAGCUACAGUUCAAAUAUAAUAAUCAAGAAAAAAAGUUGUUUUCAUGUGGAGCUGGAGACUUUUAAUAGUACCAAGGUUUCUACAGAAAAUAGACCACCUCCUUCUCCAAACUGAAGAUGAGAUGGGGUGUUGUGGUGUGGCGUGUGGACCUAAACACAGUGGGAUUCAUGAGCCUCAGCUAUAAUGCAAUCAAGGCUAUUAAUUAAUCUACAUCUGUAAAGGAGCCCUGAGGGCCCUCCGACCCAAACCACUUGUUCAAAAAGCUGCCACGUGUGUGUCGCCACUGUCUCUCUGCUUUCCCACGGUCGCCUGGCAACAUCAAAGGGUUUCCACGAGCAAAUGUCGAACAACUGUGGCGCUAAACGGCGCGCCAGCACGAGACAGCUGCCCAAAUGGCACGCGUGGUCUAUUGUGACACGGAGGUGUGAAUAGAGAAUGGUAACCACUGCUGCACCUUCACCCUGCGGACUGACUAACAAAUGCAAAGGCGUCAAAAGUGUGAAUGGCAAAGUGUCAGCACUCACCGUAAGUGAGCGCGCAGUUUAUAGAAGGGAGGAAGAAAGGAAGAAAGGAUAUUUAGUAGAAACAUAACCACUCAAAAGUGAUGUUGGUGAACCACAUCUCAACAAUGAUUUUGACAAAAGAAUACACAAGGGUAUCAUUUCUCAGUUUCGUACCAGAAACGCCAUCAUGGACAGAAGAUGUCACAGGUUGUGGAGCAUUAGUAAACCAGCUGCACAGAUGGAUAGAAGUGCAAACUCAUCCAGUGACUCGCACCUCACGGCGCACACGCUCUCAGAGGCGCAGCUGCACUGACUUUACUGCAUCCAAGUGGUUUCAUUGUCCAGCCCUGAAACAUUUUAGGCGACUGAUCUCACAGGAUAACUCUAAACAAAUCCAUCUGGAAUACAUUAGGGGAUAUAAAUACAAUGAAAGUGCAAAAACAUCCCAAUAUACCCGCACUACAGUGUGGUGAAAAACUAAAAUUAUUCAUUUUAAUGUUGUGAAUUCGUCCUCCAUGUACAGUUCUUGUAAAGGUUUGUAAAUUAUUUUUUCACCUCUUGGUGUGCUUGUUUUUGUAAUGCAAAAAACAAUGCUCACAUUCUUAUGAAUCACUGGCGUGUGGGGAGACAGUAAGGCAAGGUUGCCAAUUACAAGGUACUUGCUUUUUCAUGUUAAACAACACUGAUUUCAUUCCAAAUAAAACAAAUCUUGACUUAAGUUUUUUAGAUUUUAAGGAAUCAUCUCAAAUUCUGUAUGUUCCGUGGUUUUACGCAUGGGUUUACGCACGGUUUUACGCGUAAUAUGUAAGGUUUUAUGCCAUCUUGUCUUUUUAUUUGUCUUUUUUACUUGUAUUUUAAGUACAAGCUCGUUUGUUGUAUGAUGGUUAGAUAAAGACCUUAGAUCAUUAAAUUGUCAGAGUUUAAAGUAGCGUGAAUUAAAAAAAUAAAAAUAAAUCAGCAGCCGAGAAGAGGGGUUGGGGGUUGCUGGGGGAGUUGGGGUUGUAAAGUUUGUUCGGGUGAUGGGAGGAGUCUGAGGGACUGGCUGGGAGAAAGUAAAAGAAGCAGCCUGGGACAAAAACUUCAUUACCUGAUCAGUUGCAGACUGUGACGGAACAUCGCUCAUCUUUUACAACUGGAUACGGACAGACCGCACUGGACCACUGGCUACAAUGAGAGUGUUACAGGAAACAGAGGAUGCAACAAACAAUAGAAAGUUAAUAAAAUCUCAGGUGGAGAAACGCCGCAGGGAGAGGAUGAACCGCAGCCUGGAGCGUCUGAGGACCAUGCUGCAGGAACCUGAGCCACCGGGCGGGACUCAGCACAGGGUGGAGAAAGCUGAGAUACUCGAGCACACAGUCCUCUUCCUGCAGAACACCGCCAAAGGAGACAAGACAAGAGCUGGAGGUGGUGUCAUUGGUGGUGGGGGUGGUGGUGGACGAGGAGGCAAGAAACACUCUUUCCAGGACGGCUUCUCCACCUGCCUGCAGAAAGCUACUCAGUUCCUGGGACCCGAGGGGAAAGGCCUGUGGCUCGGAGCAGCCCUGAAUGCGUCUUUUGUUGCUCGCCUUUCCCGUCCAGACUCUGAUUCUGCAGGCGCCCAAAGAAGAACUGAAGCCCGUUCCUGCAGCUCUCUGCCACGCACAAAGUCCAUUCUUCGGAUGCUGAAGCAAAGGUCCAAGCAAAGACUGCAUACACGAGCGUUAAAUGCGCAUCCGUACCGGCUUCCAGCCCAGCAGGUGUCCCCCCAACAGGCUCAGAGACACAGUCAGGUUGAGGUCAGGGUGGAGAGCGGAGCAGGCAAACAGAGCCCGUCUCAGAGUUGCCCGAUCAACCAGACUUUGUGGAGGCCAUGGCCCUGAUCACCAGACAGUGGCCUCCUGAAACUGAACUUUUUAAAGACUCUAACAUUUGAUUAAUAUUCGCUGAUGCCAACUGUGCUGUUCCUGAAUGAAUAUUUGCAUUGCAUUGUGAACAACGACCUCUGGUCCUCUGAUAACUCCUAACAGUUUUGGUAUUCACACUCAAAGUCUGUAAAUAAUGUAAAAAAAAAAGUCAUUUGUGCAUGUGCUGUAUGUGUGAUAGGGUUGACUCACGACUCGCAGUCAGUGGGGCAGCCAUCUCUUCUGCCUGCAGGCGCAGGGACUCUCCCAGACUGGGACACACUGCUGCUGUGCUAAACAGCGAGUUCAGAGGUGUGGGACCUGAGGGUUCGAGGCUGGGAGAGCCCCAUGCAGCCCCUCACAGUCACCUGAGUGCCAUGAUGUCUGCGGGCAUUCAUGACACCUGUGUGUGUGUGAACAUCUUGUAUUCCAUAUAUCUUGUCUAUUUUGCACACUAAUUUAUUCUGGAUGUCUCCCUAUGGCGAGAACUAUUCUCUUUUUUAUAAUAAAAACUUUUCUUAAAACGUAAAAGCAUGGUGUCACUUGAUUAUUUUGGAUGCAGGCUGCAGGCCUUUUGUUUGUGCUGACGUUGACAGCUCUCUUUAGUUGGAGUCAGAGGUGUGAAGCAUGGCCUCCUGCAGAGCUGCAUCCUCCAGGUGUAAAGUCUGACCACGAGGAGAAAGAGUUUAGCAGCAGUUCUCACUUCAAAGACAUCAAAGAUAGCCCUGUUCACA